CCCCCCCCCCCCCCCGGGCGUCUAAGCACUUCUUCAGGGGAGGGCCCUUUCUUGUUCACUGUUGUGUCUCCCAUGGCCUAGCCUGGCACUGGCACGUGGCAGGCAUGUAGCGAUGACCACUGUAACGUUCCCCAGAGCCCACGUGCAUGCACACGUGCGGGGUGCCAGGACUGUGAGUGCCCUCCAGGCACGGAUACAGAUGAGGAAACUGAGGCACAGAGAAGUGAAGUGACCUUCCCAGAGCCACACAACCAGGCUGUCUUACACCUCCCCGGAGGUAGAAGGUAACCUGUGGAGGCCGAUGGUGUGGAUGUUUCCUGUCUGAUGUGUGACGCAAAGUGUUCCUGUUCCAUGGUGACGCAAGUGAAUUGUGUUUAGUAGAGAAUAAAUCUCCGCCUGGUAAAUACUGAAUGCUCUGGUUUCCUGAGUUUAACAUUCACUUGCAGCUGAAUGAUGAUCAGGAGGAGAACCACAAGGCAUGCUGGCCCCCAGAGCACUGUGUCCAGGAAGGAGGCACAGGCUGGCACAGGCAGCCCGUGGACUCUACGCUCCACAGCUUUGGGCCAGCACCAGCAAAAUCAUGACUUGAGACCACUGUGCUCUUGACUUCCAUGUCGUAUUCACCUCCCUUUCACCAGGAUGCAACUCUUGAAGCAGAAAAAAUAACCUGCUUGUAAUAAUCAUCAGCUUCAUUUUCUUAGGAGUCUCAUGUCUCCUGCCAGAACAAUUCUAGAUAAAAUAUACUGUUUUUUCAAAAAUACUGUUACAUGCUACUCUGUAAACCUGUAGUAGACGCUCCAUUAAACAUUUUCAUUUAGUAUAAAAGAAAGUAUCACAUUAAGAAAACUUAGAAUAUGGAAAAACUAUAGAAAAAAGGUCACCUUUAGUUUUACCAUGCUCACAAAGUGAUCAUCAUAUUUGUGUGUGCUUUCCCCCCCAUGCACGUGUAUAUAAAUAUUAUGCAUAUACACAUACACACACACAGAGACAUAUAUCAUGGUAGUUUCUGUCUUGCUUUUUCAUUUAACAUAAUGCCAUGUUUAUAGCAUAAGGACUUCAUAACCAUUUAAAUAGUUAUUGAUACAUUUUAAGAUUUUUUCAAAGAAAUUGGUAAUUUCAAAGACAGACAUAACUUUCUUAUAUAAAUUCCAAAUCUGGAAUUCUUAAGAAGAUGUGAACUCAUGGCACCUGACACGUAUUAUGAAGUUGCUUUGCCAAUAUGUCACACCUAUUUAUUCAGCCACCAACUGAUGGUAAUUUAUAAUUUAAAUGUCAUCAAUGUAGUAGGGGAAAAAUAAAAACCUCGCCAAUCUUUCAGUUUGCAUUCAAGAACAUUGCUAGGGACAGGAAAGUUUUAAUCAUGAUUGGUUCCUAGCUACAUUUCUUCUUUGAGAAUCAUCACAGGUAUCCAAGGGGAAGCUGAUCUGCUACUCGUCAGGAUCUCUUCCCCACAGAGGCAGCGUG